rnacentral:rRNA from 2 species
AGAGUUUGAUCAUGGCUCAGAUUGAACGCUGGCGGCAGGCCUAACACAUGCAAGUCGAACGGUAACAGGAAGCAGCUUGCUGCUUUGCUGACGAGUGGCGGACGGGUGAGUAAUGUCUGGGAAACUGCCUGAUGGAGGGGGAUAACUACUGGAAACGGUGGCUAAUACCGCAUAACGUCGCAAGACCAAAGAGGGGGACCUUCGGGCCUCUUGCCAUCAGAUGUGCCCAGAUGGGAUUAGCUAGUUGGUGAGGUAACGGCUCACCAAGGCGACGAUCCCUAGCUGGUCUGAGAGGAUGACCAGCCACACUGGAACUGAGACACGGUCCAGACUCCUACGGGAGGCAGCAGUGGGGAAUAUUGCACAAUGGGCGCAAGCCUGAUGCAGCCAUGCCGCGUGUAUGAAGAAGGCCUUCGGGUUGUAAAGUACUUUCAGCGGGGAGGAAGGUGUUGUGGUUAAUAACCGCAGCAAUUGACGUUACCCGCAGAAGAAGCACCGGCUAACUCCGUGCCAGCAGCCGCGGUAAUACGGAGGGUGCAAGCGUUAAUCGGAAUUACUGGGCGUAAAGCGCACGCAGGCGGUCUGUCAAGUCGGAUGUGAAAUCCCCGGGCUCAACCUGGGAACUGCAUUCGAAACUGGCAGGCUUGAGUCUUGUAGAGGGGGGUAGAAUUCCAGGUGUAGCGGUGAAAUGCGUAGAGAUCUGGAGGAAUACCGGUGGCGAAGGCGGCCCCCUGGACAAAGACUGACGCUCAGGUGCGAAAGCGUGGGGAGCAAACAGGAUUAGAUACCCUGGUAGUCCACGCCGUAAACGAUGUCUACUUGGAGGUUGUGCCCUUGAGGCGUGGCUUCCGGAGCUAACGCGUUAAGUAGACCGCCUGGGGAGUACGGCCGCAAGGUUAAAACUCAAAUGAAUUGACGGGGGCCCGCACAAGCGGUGGAGCAUGUGGUUUAAUUCGAUGCAACGCGAAGAACCUUACCUGGUCUUGACAUCCACAGAAGAAUCCAGAGAUGGAUUUGUGCCUUCGGGAACUGUGAGACAGGUGCUGCAUGGCUGUCGUCAGCUCGUGUUGUGAAAUGUUGGGUUAAGUCCCGCAACGAGCGCAACCCUUAUCCUUUGUUGCCAGCGGUUAGGCCGGGAACUCAAAGGAGACUGCCAGUGAUAAACUGGAGGAAGGUGGGGAUGACGUCAAGUCAUCAUGGCCCUUACGACCAGGGCUACACACGUGCUACAAUGGCGCAUACAAAGAGAAGCGACCUCGCGAGAGCAAGCGGACCUCAUAAAGUGCGUCGUAGUCCGGAUUGGAGUCUGCAACUCGACUCCAUGAAGUCGGAAUCGCUAGUAAUCGUGGAUCAGAAUGCCACGGUGAAUACGUUCCCGGGCCUUGUACACACCGCCCGUCACACCAUGGGAGUGGGUUGCAAAAGAAGUAGGUAGCUUAACCUUCGGGAGGGCGCUUACCACUUUGUGAUUCAUGACUGGGGUGAAGUCGUAACAAGGUAACCGUAGGGGAACCUGCGGUUG